CUCAGAACGAACGCUGGCGGCAUGCCUAAUACAUGCAAGUCGAACGAGAUCUUCGGAUCUAGUGGCGCACGGGUGCGUAACGCGUGGGAAUCUGCCCUUGGGUUCGGAAUAACUUCUGGAAACGGAAGCUAAUACCGGAUGAUGACGUAAGUCCAAAGAUUUAUCGCCCAAGGAUGAGCCCGCGUAGGAUUAGCUAGUUGGUGGGGUAAAGGCCCACCAAGGCGACGAUCCUUAGCUGGUCUGAGAGGAUGAUCAGCCACACUGGGACUGAGACACGGCCCAGACUCCUACGGGAGGCAGCAGUAGGGAAUAUUGGACAAUGGGCGAAAGCCUGAUCCAGCAAUGCCGCGUGAGUGAUGAAGGCCUUAGGGUUGUAAAGCUCUUUUACCCGGGAUGAUAAUGACAGUACCGGGAGAAUAAGCUCCGGCUAACUCCGUGCCAGCAGCCGCGGUAAUACGGAGGGAGCUAGCGUUGUUCGGAAUUACUGGGCGUAAAGCGCACGUAGGCGGCUAUUCAAGUCAGAGGUGAAAGCCCGGGGCUCAACCCCGGAACUGCCUUUGAAACUAGAUAGCUUG
rnacentral:rRNA from 1 species